rnacentral:rRNA from 1 species
GAUGAACGCUAGCUACAGGCUUAACACAUGCAAGUCGAGGGGCAGCAUGAUUGAAGCUUGCUUCAAUUGAUGGCGACCGGCGCACGGGUGAGUAACACGUAUCCAACCUUCCGUACACUCAGGGAUAGCCUUUCGAAAGAAAGAUUAAUACCUGAUGGUAUCUUAAGCACACAUGUAACUAAGAUUAAAGAUUUAUCGGUGUACGAUGGGGAUGCGUUCCAUUAGGUAGUAGGCGGGGUAACGGCCCACCUAGCCUACGAUGGAUAGGGGUUCUGAGAGGAAGGUCCCCCACAUUGGAACUGAGACACGGUCCAAACUCCUACGGGAGGCAGCAGUGAGGAAUAUUGGUCAAUGGACGAGAGUCUGAACCAGCCAAGUAGCGUGAAGGAUGAAGGUCCUACGGAUUGUAAACUUCUUUUAUAAGGGAAUAAAACCUCCCACGUGUGGGAGCUUGUAUGUACCUUAUGAAUAAGCAUCGGCUAACUCCGUGCCAGCAGCCG